rnacentral:rRNA from 1 species
AGGGUUCGAUUCUGGCUCAGGAUGAACGCUAGCGGCAGGCCUAACACAUGCAAGUCGCGGGGCAGCACGGGUAGCAAUACCUGGUGGCGACCGGCGCACAGGUGCGUAACGCGUAUGCAACCUGCCCCCAUCAGGGGAAUAGCCCGCCGAAAGGCGGAUUAAUGCCCCAUAGGCCCAGGGCGCCGCAUGGCGCUAUGGGUAAAGCUCCGGCGGAUGGGGAUGGGCAUGCGUGCCAUUAGCUAGUUGGGGCGGUAACGGCGCACCAAGGCGACGAUGGCUAGGGGUCGUGAGAGGAUGGUCCCCCACCACUGGUACUGAGACACGGACCAGACUCCUACGGGAGGCAGCAGCUAAGAAUCUUCCGCAAUGGGCGAAAGCCUGACGGAGCGACGCCGCCGUGAACGAAGAAGGCCGUGAGGUUGUAAAGUUCUUUCGGGAGGGGGAACAACCGUGGCAGGGAAUGGCCGCGGGAUGACGUGAAUCCCGGAAUAAGCCCCGGCUAACUACGUGCCAGCAGCAGC